rnacentral:rRNA from 1 species
UACGAAGGGGGGCUAGCGUUGCUCGGAAGUCACUGGGCGUAAAGCGCACGUAGGCGGAUCUUUAAGUCAGGGGUGAAAUCCCAAGCUCAACCUUGGAACUGCCUUUGAUACUGGGGGAUCUCCGAGUCCGGAAGAGGGUGAGUGGAAACUGCGAGUGUAGAGGUGAAAAUUCGUAGGAUAUUCGCAAAGAACACCAGGUGGCGAAGGCGGCUCACUGGCCGGUACUG